rnacentral:rRNA from 1 species
GACGUAGGAUGCAAGCGUUGUCCGGAAUCAUUGGGCGUAAAGAGUUCGUAGGCGGUAUAUCAAGUCUGGUGUUAAAUACCGAGGCUCAACUUCGGAAGGGCACUGGAUACUGGUAAACUGGAGUGCAGUAGAGGCAAGGGGAAUUCCCAGUGUAGCGGUGAAAUGCGUAGAUAUUGGGAGGAACACCGGUGGCGUAAGCGCCUUGCUGGGCUGUUACUGACGCUGAGGAACGAAAGCCAGGGGAG